CCCAGUUUUUUAAUUUACUUUUCUCUUUCCUUGCAGCAUUAGAAGGAAAUGCUCCCAGGGCAUGGCGAGUCUUGCUCCUUGGAAGUUUGUAGCCUUCCUGACAUUUGCAUAUCUCAGGUUGCAAGUAGCUCCUUGGGAGAAUGCUUGAGUGGCGUGAUGUCAACUUGCAGUGCCUCUGACGGACUGUGUCACAAUCAGAAUUGCCCCUGUGCUGCUGAUCAGCCUGUACAAAUCCUUGCCAGGGCUUUGUUCACAUGGAGGAAGUUGGGCCUCCUGGGGAACUCGCAGCUGAAAGUCAUUAUAGUCAUGGCCUAGGUUUGAAGGUAGGAGACCCCUGAUGUGUCUGCAAGAAAGAACAAAUCUUUCUCCUGCCUGACUCCAUCCCAGUCUUCCCCCUAGACUUCUGGGACAAGCUCCAGACAGGAGACAUUCAGAAGAUCAGGUAGUGUUCCCACUUUGGCAAGGAAUGUUGUAAUCUUUGACAACUGAGAUUCCUUUAUUUACUAAAAUAAAUAAAUAAAUAAAUAAA